rnacentral:misc_RNA from 1 species
GCAAACUUGGUCAUUUAGAGGAAGUAAAAGUCGUAACAAGGUUUCCGUAGGUGAACCUGCGGAAGGAUCAUUACUGAAGUGCUUGGAGAUGUUGCUGGCUUCUUUUAGGAGGCAAUGUGCACUCUUCCAACUUUUUCACAACCCCUUGUGCACCCUCUGUAGGGCCCCUCACAAGGCUUCAUAACCUGAUGAGGGAGACUCUAUGUUUUUUUUGCUACCCUUUACACUUGUUGAAUGUAUGGUGUCAUGAUUGAAAACAGAGAGAAACAACUUUCAACAAUGGAUCUCUUGGCUCUCGCAUCGAUGAAGAACGCAGC